CCUUCUUCCCCGCCUCGCGGCGCCCGGGUCCUGAUUCUACUUCCGCCUCGGAGGACUUGGGGGCCCGACGUUUCCGGGAGCGCCGCGUGGAGUUGGAGUUGGCCGCUUUUGGCAUGGCGGCGUUUUCAGGUCCGGCCGCGCCAGUCUUGUCGCAUAAGAAGAUGUCGACUUUCAAAAGGAGGUGGCGCAGGUUCGCAAGCGCGUCACCCAGGGAAAAAAACAAGAACAACUUACUCCUGGAGUCGUCUAUGUGCGCCACUUGCCUAACCUGCUUGAGGAAACUCAGAUCUUUUCCUAUUUCUCCCAGUUUGGCACUGUGACACGGUUCAGACUGUCCAGAAGUAAAAGGGUAAGAUUUCUGUAGUUGCAUUUGAUGUUUUGUUUUUCAAAUGUGUAUUAUCUUUGACAUUAAAGAGCACGUUCACUUA